rnacentral:rRNA from 1 species
UACGAAGGGGGCUAGCGUUGUUCGGAUUUACUGGGCGUAAAGCGCACGUAGGCGGAUCGUUAAGUCGGGGGUGAAAUCCUGGAGCUCAACUCCAGAACUGCCUUCGAUACUGGCGAUCUUGAGUCCGGUAGAGGUGAGUGGAACUCCUAGUGUAGAGGUGGAAUUCGUAGAUAUUAGGAAGAACACCAGUGGCGAAGGCGGCUCACUGGUCCAGUACUGACGCUGAGGUGCGAAAGCGUGGGGAGCAAACAGG